rnacentral:rRNA from 1 species
UGGGGAAUCUUGCGCAAUGGGCGAAAGCCUGACGCAGCGACGCCGCGUGGGGGAAGAAGGCCUUAGGGUUGUAAACCUCUUUCAGCAGGGACGAAGCCACUCGGGUUAAUAGCCCAGAGGGUGACGGUACCUGCAGAAGAAGCCCCGGCUAACUACGUGCCAGCAGCCGCGGUAAUACGUAGGGGGCAAGCGUUGUCCGGAUUUAUUGGGCGUAAAGAGCGUGUAGGCGGCCAGAUAGGUCGGUUGUGAAAACUGGAGGCUUAACCUUCAGACGUCGACCGAAACCAUCUGGCUAGAGUCCGGAAGAGGAGAAUGGAAUUCCUGGUGUAGCGGUGAAAUGCGCAGAUAUCAGGAAGAACACCCGUGGCGAAGGCGGUUCUCUGGGACGGUACUGACGCUGAGACGCGAAAGCGUGGGGAGCGAACAGGAUUAGAUACCCUGGUAGUCCACGCCGUAAACGAUGAGUGCUAGGUGUGGGGGGUGUCGACUCCCCCCGUGCCGAACGCUAACGCAUUAAG